ACCAGAAUUAAAAAACAAAAUUUUAAUUGUUUUGAAAACAAUCUCGAGCGGUCGGAAGUUUUUAUUUUACUUUUUCUAGAUUUUUUGUUACUUUGUGAGUGAAUUUAACGUUAAAUAAAAAUUAUGAGAUUUAACGAGCGUUCUUCUCAUCCAACAUUGGUGCAAAUAGAGGCAUUGAUAGACGUUUUGGAUUAAAAGCUAGCGAAACAAAAGGUUUAAUCGUAUCUCAACAUGUUCAAUAAGAGAACAAGGAUAUUAAAAAAAUGUAGGAACUAAAUUCUCUUGUCAGAUAUGAUCCAUUCCCGGUGAGAUAUUUAGGACAUGUUAACAUCUAUUUAUGUAUGAUAAAUCUAUCUACUACGUUUUUAUUGAUAUUCUAUUUUAACAGGGAAUAUCGGUAAUUUAUCUGUAUCUCAAAUUCACCAAUAACAAAAAAAUUAUAUUGAAUUAAAUAAAUCAAAUCAUUAACAAUUUAGGUAUUGCAAGUUGGAUUGAUGUUGUUGGAAUGUUUUUAUUGAUGCAGAGGUGACUGUAUUUAUGGUAAAGGGUGUGCAUAUUGGUACAGGGGUGGCAGGCAGUUCCAGAGUAUUGACUAAACUGACAUUAUGUAGGCUAAAGGCUGCAUACUCCGUUUAAAAUAAAUGAACAAAAUUUAGGCAUAACCUAUUUUAUUAUAUUUAAGGAACUACAACAGAUUGAAAAUACUAAUCCACAUCAUCAGAAUAUUGUAAGGAGAAUUUAUUGCCAACUUGGAAAAUGUAUCAGUAUUGGAACAAUCCCAAACAUACAGCAUUGCAUCAAGAAUCACCUAUUUUGCAGUCAUCCUCCCCUAACUAAAUGCAAGUGACUUCUACUUAUUGUGAUGCUACUACUAGUAGCUCCAGCCACAGUAGGUCUCAUGUUAGUCAAGAGAUUGGGUUGUUAGCACCUCAACACCUGACCUGCUAUUUCACCACUUUUCAAUGAAAAGCAGAGUGUACUCAAAUUACAACAAAUUACACAGUACCAGGAUAUAUAACUUAAACAACCAUGGGGGAAUAAAUAGUCGACAGUCUGCAAGAAGGAUGAACUGUUGGUGGAAUUAGCAUAUGCAGCUAGGAAUUUUAAACCUGUAUUUCCACAUAUUACUGAUGCAAACAAAUUUCAAAAUUAUUGUAUAUAACUAUUGAAUAAAACUAUAAUAAAACUAUUUUUAUAAAUCAUUAA